rnacentral:rRNA from 1 species
GACGAACGCUGGCGGCGUGCCUAAUACAUGCAAGUCGAACGCAGUGGGGACGGGGGAGUAACACGUGGGUAACCUCCCAUCAGAGGGGAUAACACUGGGAAACAGGUGCUAAACCGAUACUGAUGGAUGGACCCGCGGUGCAUUAGCUAGUGGGUGAGGUAACGGCUCACCAAGGCCACGAUGCAUAGCCGGCCUGCGAGGGUGCGCUGCCUCAUUGGGACUGAGCCACGGCCCAGACUCCUACGGGAGGCAGCAGUAGGGAAUUUUCGGCAAUGGACGAAAGUCUGACCGAUCAGCGCCGCGUGAGUGAAGAAGGUUUUCGGAUCGUAAUUCUCUGUUGUUAGAGAAGCGGUAUCUAACCAGAAGGCCACGGCUAACUACGUGCCAGCAGCCGCGGUAAUAC